rnacentral:rRNA from 1 species
UAAGGAAUAUUGGUCAAUGGAGGGAACUCUGAACCAGCCAUGCCGCGUGCAGGAUGACUGCCCUAUGGGUUGUAAACUGCUUUUGUACGGGAAUAAACCCCUCUACGUGUAGAGGGCUGAAUGUACCGUAAGAAUAAGGAUCGGCUAACUCCGUGCCAGCAGCCGCGGUAAUACGGAGGAUCCGAGCGUUAUCCGGAUUUAUUGGGUUUAAAGGGUGCGUAGGCGGCUUUUUAAGUCAGGGGUGAAAUACGGCAGCUCAACUGUCGCAGUGCCCUUGAUACUGAAGAGCUUGAAUGUGGCUGAAGAUGGCGGAAUGAGACAAGUAGCGGUGAAAUGCAUAGAUAUGUCUCAGAACUCCGAUUGCGAAGGCAGCUGUCUAAACCAUUAUUGACGCUGAUGCACGAAAGCGUGGGGAUCGAACAGG